UGUCCUGCCACUGGACUUGGUACACUCUGGAGCAGAGUGAGGCUAACAGAUUUGUGCCAGCCUAACUUAAAUCCAAUUCAUGGGCAAGCCAAGACAUCAUUCACUCGUGAUGUUUUGGAAGACAAAGGACAAACAACAACAACCACCAAAUACCAGUUAUGCAAGUAUUUGAGAAGGAGAUUAAAUUGAGGAGCUUCCUAGAAGUUACAUAUUGACAGAAUCAUCAAUUUUUGGAGCUGGAAAUCAUUUUAGAGAUCACCUAAUCCAAUCCCUUUAUUUUAUAGAUGAGGAAACAGAUUGAGGGAAAUUAACCUCCAUCAUGGUACAGUGUGAAAAUAUACUUUGUUCAGAAUUAGAAGCCCAGGAUUUGAGUCCCAUCUCUAACAUUACUAGUUCUGUGAUCAUGCACAAAUUGUGUUAUCCUUUUGAAACUCAAUUUCCUCAUCUGUGAAAUGAAGAUGCUAAUACUUUAUUGCCCAUCUCACAGUAGUACUGUAAAGAAAGUGCUUUGUAUAGGGUCAAGGACUAUAGAAACAUGAGCAGUUAUGAUUGACUUGUCCAGGGUCACAGAGCUAGCAAAUGGGAGAACCAGGAUAAAAAUGCAGGUCAGGAAGCAUUUCUUUUGUUUAGCAGCUUUCACCAGGUCUCCUCAGUAACAAUGUAUUCUCUCCUGCCCCAUGUGCACACGUCAAAAUUCAUCACUUGAUCCCCACGACCCGAUGAUGAGAUGCUUUUUUGAAAUGAGUUUCCCUGGUCUCUUUCCACUACUGCUUGUUUAGGGAUUGCCAGAAAGUCCACUGCAGCCACCCUGCAACAGAUACAGAGUUUUCUCUGUUUGAAUGCACACAAGAGUUUUCAUCACAAUGGAAUGCUUAUGGAGUUACAUAUUUCAAGGACAUUAACACCAAAACGCAGCUUAAUUGGGAGUCCAGUCAUGGUGAUGAAUGGCAAUGUCAAAGUGAUUAGUAAAAGAAUUUGCAAUUUGUUCCUGCAACCUCGCCCUGAGCAUCUACUUCAGUGAACAGAAAACAUCAUCUCUGCUUUUCCUUCUCAACUAUGUGGAUUUGUAUGACAUCCAUGCUUAAGCCUCUAGGAUGAGUAGAAUUAUGGGACUGAAAAGAGAAAUGGCAGGAGUCCUGAAGAAUCAGAAUCAGAGAAAUGAAAGUAGUUACCAAAUCUAAUCAAAGUAAUCAUAGGCUACUGGAAAUGGAAAGGACUUUAAGGGAUGGGAAACCCAAGGCCUAGAGAGGUCUCAAUUCAAUUUAACAUUUAUUCAGCUCUUACUGUAUUCAGAGCUCUGUGCUAGGAGUGGGAUUGAGUUAAAAUUAAAUGACUCAUUCUUUAUCCUCAUAGUGAUAGGGACUGACCUGUUAUUUCACUGUUAUGGAAAAUUCUUGGGUGAGGAAAUUCCAUCUUCUAAUACAGAUUGACACCUUCUCUGCCAUUUUUAAUCUUAGAGAGUUACCUAGAGGAUAGAGGGGUUUCCUGACAUUCCCCAUGUCGCACACCCUGUAUAUGUCAGCCAUGGGACUUGAACCUAUGUUUCUUCCUAGGGCAAUUCUCUGGCCAUGCUGCCUUACUAUAUGUGUUACCUUCAAAACAGUCUCAUUUUUGUGCA